AUGCACGCUGGCGGCGUGCCUAAUACAUGCAGGUCGAGCGAACAGACGAGGAGCUUGCUCCUCUGACGUUAGCGGCGGACGGGUUAGUAACACGUGGAUAACCUACCUAUAAGACUGGGAUAACUUCGGGAAACCGGAGCUAAUACCGGAUAAUAUAUUGAACCGCAUGGUUCAAUAGUGAAAGACGGUUUUGCUGUCACUUAUAGAUGGAUCCGCGCCGCAUUAGCUAGUUGGUAAGGUAACGGCUUACCAAGGCAACGAUGCGUAGCCGACCUGAGAGGGUGAUCGGCCACACUGGAACUGAGACACGGUCCAGACUCCUACGGGAGGCAGCAGUAGGGAAUCUUCCGCAAUGGGCGAAAGCCUGACGGAGCAACGCCGCGUGAGUGAUGAAGGUCUUCGGAUCGUAAAACUCUGUUAUUAGGGAAGAACAAAUGUGUAAGUAACUAUGCACGUCUUGACGGUACCUAAUCAGAAAGCCACGGCUAACUACGUG
rnacentral:rRNA from 1 species